GUUCUCCAGACGUGGACAACUAUUCUGAAGAAGACAAUGACAGUUAUUCUUCAGAGCAGGAGGUCAGUGAUGAUGCCGUUCAGGGUCAGUGGAUAUGAACAGAAGUUCAGAUGCGUCUAUAGCGCUUCACUCUACAGCUGUUGAGCAGACGGCUGGGGGGAUGUCACAUGUGACGGAGAUGUGAACGCAGACAAAUCAGCAGCAAACAUCGGCAAACUCUGCAAGGCCGAGUCUCAGACUCUCAUGUCGUGGAGACGCUGUGUGUUUCGUUGAAUAAAGAAAGACCCUUUGUUUGCCCUGCCAUCAUGACAUAGCUGAAAACGAAUGGACCAAUUUUAUUUACAACACUGUUCCAGGAAAGUACAAAUCGAAUGUUAAAGCGUACGUAACAUGACAUCAUAAAAAUGACGUUUCAUGCAGUCUGUUAUAUUGCCGUGUUUGAAAGUAAGCUGUCUGCCAAGUUGUAAGUCGGAAGGUGAAUAAAUAACGAAGUUAUUUGCUUUUAAAACUGAGAGUCGACUCUGAAUCACACAAACGAGUCGAGGAUGCAUAUCUACGUCACUAUACAUAAACGUGUUGCUGAGACUGCCGGGAAAACUUAUGUCUCCUUCCCCAAACACUGUCGCUCGUUUGUGAUGCAUGUGUAUCAUGUCUUGAGUCAGUGUUCUACGGUGUGACACGGUCGGUCUUAUUUCAACUACCAAAGGAAGAACGUCUGAGGGGAAAAUGGUAUCGUUGGAAAAAUGAUUUGUAACCAAAGGAGUAUAAACCCAGAGUUUAACUGUGCGUGUCAUUUCACAGAUGAUUGCUUUGAUAAUCUUGGCGUGUUCAGUGCAGGAUAUGUGAAACAACUAUCCUUGAAAGAGGGGCAAUACCAACUCUAUUUGGACCUUUUAGCUCCACCGAGUCCCAACCUGAGCAGACGGCUGGGGGGAUGUCACAUGUGACGGGGAUGUGAACGCAGACAAAUCAGCAGCAAACAUCGGCAAACUCUGCAAGGCCGAGUCUCAGACUCUCAUGUCGUGGAGACGCUGUGUCUUUCGUUGAAUAAAGAAAGACCCUUUUUUUGUCCUGCCAUUACAUAGCUGAAAACGAAUGGUCCAAUUUUAUUUACAACACUGUUCCAGAAAAGUACAAAUCGAAUGUUCAAGUUUGAGCAGCGCAUUUCCAGACAACUGCUUCACGAACGCUUUGGUUAAAAGUGGGGCUAUUCCAACCAUUAAAACUUUACAAGGACAGUCUGGAGCUUCUGAUUUGCAGCCUUUUCACAGAUAUUCAGAUGAGUCUACAGCACUGGACUCAACAGCUGUGGAGCAGACGGCUGGGGGGGAUGUCACAUGUGACGGAUGUGAACGCAGACAAAUCAGCAGCAAAUAUCGGCAAACUCUGCAAGGCCGAGUCUCAGACUCUCAUGUCACUUAGACACACUGAUGGAGCAAUACAGGGCCCACCAGGAGGGCCCCGACCCCUCCACUAAGCUGCAGGACAAUGUCGCCAGCAAGGUGUAUCGCAUCAAGCGAUUUGUUGCGUACAUGGCCCAGGGAGGGGGCAAGCUCCAGACCCUGGACCUCCUCAAUGAUACGGAGAGGAU